UUGGGGUUAGCCACAGCUGGCGAGAGGAACGGCGUGGGUGAGCGCGGUCUGACACGCAGGCUGCCGGGUGGGGCGCGCGGAGCCCCGGCCGAGGAGCCGAGUGGCCGAAGAUGGUGGACUACCUGGCGAACACGGAGAUCAACAGCCAGCGCAUCGCGGCUGUUGAGAGCUGCUUCGGGGCAUCGGGGCAGCCACUGGCCCUGCCGGGCCGAGUGCUGCUGGGCGAGGGCGUCCUGACCAAGGAGUGCCGCAAGAAGGCCAAACCGCGCAUCUUCUUCCUCUUCAACGACAUCCUGGUGUAUGGCAGCAUCGUGCUCAACAAGCGCAAGUACCGCAGCCAGCAUAUCAUUCCGCUGGAGGAGGUGACGCUGGAGCUGCUGCCCGAGACCCUGCAGGCCAAGAACCGCUGGAUGAUCAAGACGGCCAAGAAGUCCUUCGUGGUGUCAGCCGCCUCCGCCACUGAGCGCCAGGAGUGGAUCAGCCAUAUCGAGGAGUGCGUGCGGCGGCAGCUGCUGGCCACGGGCCUCCAGCCCAGCACGGAGCACGCGGCGCCCUGGAUUCCCGACAAGGCCACGGACAUCUGCAUGCGCUGCACGCAGACACGCUUCUCGGCGCUCACCCGCCGGCACCACUGCCGCAAAUGCGGCUUUGUGGUCUGUGCCGAGUGCUCCCGCGAGCGCUUCCUCCUGCCGCGCCUCUCGCCCAAGCCCCUGCGCGUCUGCAGCCUCUGCUUCCGCGAGCUGGCCGCCCAGAAGCGGAAGGAGGAGGCGGAGGAGCUGGGCACCGGGUCCGCCGGGCAGCCGGCUUACCUGGCCGGGGCCGUCUGCGGAGCGUCCAGUGGAGACGACGAUGACUCGGACGAGGACAGGGAGGGCAGUGGGGAUGGUGACUGGCCCAGCCGCGUGGAGUUCUACGCCUCGGGAGUCUCCUGGUCGUCCUUCCACAGCUGACCCCGGGUCUGCAGACAUGCGGGAGGGCUUCCCUAGUCACUUCGGCAUCCAAGCAGAUGCCACUGACCGGGCCCCUGAGAGGGCAGAGUUCCCCAAGCUACCCAGCACCCUGCCGGGCCCUUCCCCAUGGGACCCUACCCCACGGGGUGGUGGGCACAGCGGAAGUGGCUCCUUUUCUCUGAACCCCCAAUGCCUCUUUUUGGAUACUGGCGUCCUUCUAGUUCCACUUCAGACAGGCAAGGGAUUCACAGGACCCAAGGAAUCUUAUCCCUCCUGGAUGAUGAUGAUGACCUUAGAGAGAAGACCCUGUAUCCAAACAGCUCCCAGCAUGGCUGGCCCUCCUGCCUUGGUCAAGGGGCACAUGUAACACCCCUAAGAGUUGUGCUUUGGAACCUUGUGCUGCAGUGGGACCUCACCUCUGUGGGGGCAGGCUUGUGAUGCUGCUGCUUGUGACGUGGCCUUGAACAGUUCCUGGGAGGAGCAGCCCCAAGGAGCUGCGGCCCAGGCUGGUUCUUGCCUGGUUUGAGGAUAGGUAAGUAAUUCACAUUUUAAAACACUAGAAUCCCCUCAGGCACAAGAUGCCCACACUCUGAGAUUCUCAUCCACCUGUGCCGCUUCCCCUGAGCCACACCCUUGGGGCAUUGGAAGCCCUUGGGGUCACCAGCACUAGUUACAGCUUGUCUUUUUCUUUAUUCUCCCCAAGCACAUAAGUAUGAAGUUGCUGUAAGGCAAAUAAUGCUCAUGGAGCAAUUCCACUGACUUUCAUACACCCACCCCCAUUUACUACUUAUUAAAACUGGCUGUUACUAUUCCAUUACAUUGCCCACAUACACAGUUUAACUAUUUCCCUGUUGUUCAACAUCGGAAUUGUUUCCCUUUUCUUCCUGCCAUCAUCAACAGCAGUGCUAUGAAUACUCUUAUCUUUUUUCUGUUUGAAUUAUUUUAUUGUAAUAUUUUCCCUGAAGUGAAAUUGGUUGGCUGGAAAGUAUAUACAAUUGUAUGGUUCCUGUGACUUUUUCCUUUAAAUCACUCUCCCAAAAGACUGUAUCACUAUGUAUUUUCUCCAGUGGAGUGUAUGUAUGUGUAUACAUUGGUUUCCUACAGCCCUGGAAGCUCUGGGUUUGAUCAUGUGUAUUCAUUAAUACUAAUUAAUUGGUGUGUAGCAGAUAACUCCUAGAUAUUAUCCUUUCCUUUGUUUAACUGCAAAUGAGAAUGAGUAAAGUCCUCCCCUUAAAACCCACAAAAAUUAAAUAGCCUCCACCUCAAUAAUUUAGAAAAACAUUUUUUAACUUCCUCCAUUUGCCAGCAUUUGGGGUACCUUAGCAGCCCCGAGGCUGAGAUGCAGCCGGCCAGGCCCAAGCUUUGCCUCUUGACCCGCUGUCAUCAUAGCAGUCCGAGACGCCACCUCCAGCGAAUAAAGCCAUU